ACAUCCUAAGCUAACCUUACCCCGCGAAGUAAGUUACGCACAUCCUCUGCAGUCGUUACUUUUUAAGGACGUCAAUUUCAGAAAUUACUAUGUGACAGCAAUGAAUUCGUCAGCCAAUCGCAAGCCUAUGGAAACGAUGAAAUUCUGAAGUACCCAAGUACUUCAUUUGUGAAGAUUUAGAGAGAUAUUCGAAAGGAACAAGUUACGGACGGCUACUGCACAGAUGGGAGAUGUGAGAAGUUGGUGUCUGAGAUUGAACUCGGACAAAGUUACUGAACGAAGGAAAGCUUGUGACCAGUUAAAGCACCUUCUCAAAGAUGAACAAGUUGUGGCGACUCUAGAUUGCAAGCCCUCGGACUCUUUCAACUGGGACCAAGUCUUCAUUUAUGCCAAAACUUACUUCCACAAGGUAAAAACUUUUUUUUAUUUUUCUAGAAAAUAU